GAGCAAAGCCAGAAACCAGGUACUUGACGAAAGUAGCAGCACAUCUGAAGACACCUUAGUGUGUGACCUUGUGACCUUUGCGAAGGAGAAGGUAGCCACAAAGAUCCACACAUAAAUAACCCUUAGCACAGUAUAUUCUCAGACCUACAGCUCUACCUGGAAUAGCCAUCGGUCCCUGCGAUGUUUCAAUGGUGGUUGUUUCAGAAGUCUCCGUGUGGUUCCUUGUAUGUCUUCUCUCACUAGCCUGUGUAAGCUGCUCUGGUCCUCUCCAACACUGCCCGUCACAGUACUUUUGUUUGCCAUAGAAAGGGAAUUAUUGGCAGUUUGCCUGUUUUUAGCUGCUUUAAAAACAAAAGUAGUUGCUUUGGAAGGAAGCUUCCAUCAAUCCCUGCAGAACAUAGCUGGAAGCCAGCUGGUACAAGCCCCCUUCUCCCAGAAAAAGGGAGGAAGAGGCAGGAGGACGCUUUGGCGAUUUGAAUACCUUUUCGAAUCCCUGUGCAAUUCGGAGAUGGUGUCUUGUAUUUAGUGGGUUGUCAAAGCCAAAGGGGUCUUUCAGUUUAUAUCAAAAAACAAAGAAAAA
rnacentral:lncRNA from 1 species